AGCUUUGGAGGCUGGGAAGUCCAAGAUCAAGAUCAAGUCCCGUAGAUUCAGUGUCUAGUGAGGGCUGACUUCUUGGUGCUGUGAUGUCUAUGCAGAAUCCUAUAAUGGAUGGAGCUAAAGCAGAAGUGUUUCCAGGACCUGUUGGAGCUCCAAGGUUAACGCAUCCGGGUGCUGAGCACAACCGAGACUUGGAGGGUGACAUGAACAACUAGGACACUGGCCUGCCAGGCUGUGGACGCGCAGAUAGGAUUAACAGCCAAAAAAGAGAAGUAACUAACUCUGAGGUCCAUGGGCCAGAGGCAGCCACGUAGCCCCACUGACUACAAAGGCUGGGAAGUAUACUCAGAAGAUAAAUGGAUG